UGUUGCUGGGGCCCGACGGGGCCGAGGGAGGGGAGUUGGCUGCGGCCGAAGGUUUGAAAUCCUCCCUGAGAGGAGCAUGUCGGGAAUAACCGCCGCGGUCCCGGUAGCCGGCCCUCUGCAGGGCCCCGGGUGACACUGUCCUCUCCCGGGAGGCGCCCGCCCGGCCAGGCUCAGCACCCAAGGACGCAGUCAGCGCCAACCCGUCACGGCGACUCCGAGCCCUGCGCGCGUCCGGCGCCGGGGAAGGGACGUGAGCGGCUCACCCGGAUCGCGGCUUAUACCGCGGCUGCCCGGUUCGCGGGUCCCGCGGUCCUUGGCACCCGAUGGUUCCCCGCCGUGGGGCGUCACUGAAGGCGGCUUUGAGUUCCCGAGUUAAGUUCACCUAGCCGUGUAACCAGUCUCUUACGAUGCAAGAUCGAUGAAGUAGAAAUGAAGAAAUCAACAGAUGAUCAAAUCUCUUCCGUAGCUUCACCUUCAGCAAUCUUUCAAAUAAACUGUGUGAACAAGAUAACAUCUAAAUAAAGAUCAUGAGUCCUCAAGGACUUACUUUACUUAAAAUUCA